rnacentral:rRNA from 1 species
GUUGUAUGGUUAAGUGACUAAGCGUACACGGUGGAUGCCUUGGCAGUCAGAGGCGAUGAAGGACGUAUUAACUUGCGAUAAGCCCAGAUUAGGUAGUAAAAACCAUUUGAGUCUGGGAUUUCCGAAUGGGGAAACCCACUUACAUAAGUAAGUAUCGUUAUGUGAAUACAUAGCAUAACGAGGCGAACCGGGGGAACUG